UAAACAAAUUUGUAAAAUAUAUUACCCCCCCCCCCCACAAAAAAAUAGGAAAAGCAAACCCUUUUCCUUUGCAAGAAAAGAUUUGUGAUUUCCGAGGAGGUAAAACCUGGAGAACUGAGCAGAGAGUUUUCAUUUGAAGCCCCAUAGGAGAGAAGAUGAAAGACUUCAAGGUAACUUCCCACCAUCACAUAUAGUAAGACAAUAGGUUCUUCCAGGCAGAAGGAAAAGAGACUGAGAAGGUUUAGAAGGUGUAUGGAACCAGCAGGGAGUAAGAGAAGGAGAAAGAAAAUACUGCAGAUGUGACAUCACAGAAACCAGUGGAGAGAAAGUAUUUUAAGAAGGAGUGAGUAAUCCACCUCAUCAAAUGCUGCCAAGAGAUCAGGGAAGAAGAGAACUGUAGAGUCUCUACGAUCAGCUUUAACAAGAUGGAGGUCCGCUAAUGGCCUUCACAAGACAAGCUUGGGGCUUUGGAAAGAGCAGGAGAGAGAGAAGAGUGGAGCAAAGAGUACUAAAGAGGGAUGGGAAAGUGGAGGCGUCUUUUGUUUGGAUGUGUGGAGGGAUGAGAAAGAGCAUUGUUUGGAGGAUUGGAGAUCGCGAAGAGGUUUUCCUACGAUACAACUUCCUCAAGCAUGCUUGUGACUAGAUGGACAGGACGGAGAUAUAGGAACUAAGUCCCUGAAAAGGCGGGGGGAAUGGGUCCUUCCACGCUCCUGACUGCUCUGGUGGCUGUGAAAAUUGGCUGCCGGCAGAGCAUGGCUGACUGAUGGCCCCAGCUGCUGUGCUUCUGGAUCCACUCCUGCUUCCCUGCUGAGGCUGCCUCCCACAGGCUGUUCUCAGUAAAUGGCUAAACAUGGCGGGGCCAGUCCUAUGGCGAUUUUGGCAUGAAGACUCCCCAGGGCCCUGGGCAAACCUUUCUUGGAACUGUACCGUCAUCAGAGGCUCUUCUGUCCAAUCCUCCUUGCCCCACUCCUUCAAAGGUGCCAGACCUCCUUAUGGCCUGAAGUCCCUCUCUGCCUUCUUUGCCUCCUCCUUUUUAUCCUCUUCAGGAAUUGCCCCCCAUAUAGAUCUCAUGCACGUCUGAUCCGGUCUUCACAUCUGCUUCUAGAAGGACCCAAACCUACAAAAGCUGCUGACGCCCACAUCAGCCUUUGUCCUCUCUUCUGACUGUCAGACUUGUCUUUCUAACUUCUGAUUGGACAACUCCAUCUGGAGUAUUGUGUUCUGAAGGCCAGGAGUCCAAGAAGAUGGUGUCAUGGUCUGCUGAGGGCCCUCUUCCAGCACUCCUGCCCACUGAAACCCACUACUCUGGGCUGUUUCCCGGCUACUGUUGGACCCCGACUACACUGUGCUACCUGAGAUUACUGUGUGCAGAACUCAUGUUUUGGACUUUCCCUCCUCCAUCAAGAUAUGACCAUCCCAUAUGCUAUUCCAUCGUGGCUCUGCUGUGUUUGUAUAUUAAUUUGAUAAACUCAUUUUAUUAAGAAGUAAUGACUGGUAAUAGUGUGCUAUGCUGGGAAAUCUGGAUUUUAACAGGGUACUCUUAAAGAUAUAUAACUUAGUCUAUGGGAUAGAUUACUUACAGCAAAAUUUAGGCAAGAUGAAAGAAAAUGGUUGAGAGAGAUGUUUUCAGCAGGGCCUAAAAGACUAAUGUGAUUUAACUUAGUUUCUUUCUUUCUUUAAAAAAAAUUUUUUUUAAUGUUUACUUAUUUUUGAAGGAGAGAGAGACAGAGU